UAUAAGUUAUCCUUUUGUGCCUUCAUUUUAAUUCUUGAUAUGGUACUGGCAGACAUUCCUAAAAGGCUCAAAAAUAUAAUUAACAGUGAUCUUCAGAAUAUGUGGAAGGGUACUCCCCAGGGCUUCCCAGGUGGUGCUACUGGUAAAGAACCUGCCUGCCAAUGCAGGAGAUAUAAUAGACUUGGGUUCAAUCCUAGGUUGGGAAGAUCCCCUGGAGGAGGGCAUGGCAUCCUACUCCAAUAUUCUUGCCUGGAGAAUCCCAUGGACAGAGGAGCCUGGCGGGCUACAGCCCAUAGGGUCACACAGAGUCGGACAUGACUGAAGUGACUUAGCACACCUGCACAGGGGUAUUCCCCAAGAAAUGAAAACGCAAAAGAAACUUUUGAAAAGUAGGGAAGCAACCCAAAUCAAAGGGUUUUACAGAGAGAAAAAGGAGCCCAGAUUUUUCAGUUCGAGGAACAAUAGAGAUAGUUCCCACAGCUUUACAUAGAGUAGGUAUUCAAUAAAUUUUUCUUGAAGAAAUGUUGAAAAGAUGAGUAAGGAAAGCUAAAAGCUUUUUUUUUUUUUUUAAUAUCAGUGUCAGACCCUCUCUCUAGUUCAAUGUGGGCUAAAGGGGGAUGAGAAGACCAAUUCUUCAGAACUCAUUUCUAGAAACUAUGCAAUCACAAGCUCAUCAUAUCCAUUGUGUUUCCUCAGAGGUGGAGGCUAAAUGGUGAGCCAAGGUUAGCAGGGAUGAUGUUAGGUAACCAAUACAACAGAUAUGAUUUCUCUGCUCAUGGGAGAAAGCUACUAAAUUUUGAAAUUUAGUCAGUUUCCAUAACCCAUCACAUUUUUUUUUGGAUAUUUACCCUAGAGUAGAAUUGCUAGGUCAUAUGGAAGUUUUUUUAAUAUUUUGAAGAACCAUGAAACAUUUUCCACAGCAGCUGCACCAUUUCACACUUCCACCAGCAAUGCAGCAGGAUUCAAAUUUUUCCAUAUCCUUGCAGACACAUUAUAUUCCUUUUUUCUCUCAAGAACAGCCUUCUGUGGAUGAGAAUAUCUCAUUACAGUUUGACUUUUUUAAAAUAUCUCAUUGCAUUUCCCUAAUGACUAAUGAUGAUGUUGAGCAUCUUUUCAUGUGCUAGUUGAUCAUUUGUAUAUCUUCUGUUUGAAGAAAUGUAUAUUCAUGUCAUGUCCUCUCCUCAUUCUUGAAUUAGGUUGGGUUUUUUGCUCUUGUUGAGAUGUAAAAGUUCUGUUUUUAACUGGAUAUUAACCCCUUAUCAGCUGUAGAUCUGCAAAUAUUUUCUCCCAUUCCAUGGUUGUCUUUUCACUUUCACGAUAGCAUCCUUUGAUAAACAAAAGAUUUAAAUUUUGAUAAACCCCAAUUUUUUCUAUUUUUUCUUUUGUUGUCUGUGCUUUUGAUGUCAUACUUGAGAAACCAUUCCCAAAUCCAAGACCAUGAAGAUUUUCUCCUUCUUUCUCUUGAGUUUUAUAGUUCUAGAUCUCAGACAAACAUACAUUCUCGUUGCAGUCUCUGAUAUUUCUUUCCAAAUAAAAUCUGAAAAACAUAUUUCAUGAUUCUAAUCCUUAUAACCUUUCUCAAAUUGCUUAAUCUGUCUCAGUUUAAUUAUCCCUCAAGGGAUAAUUUCACAAGGUUAUCUUAAAAGUUAUAAGUUUAAACAUUGCUAGUGUAGUGCCUAGCACACUGGUGCUCAAUAAACCUUCAUUUCCUUUCUUUUUUCCUUCAAAGUGCUUUCUUUACAGGACCUGCCAGAGUCCGUUAUUCUACCUGAUUUCACCGUUUUCUUCCUGAGGGUCAAGUCUAGGGUCUCAAAUCUCCUUUCUUUGUUUCAGAGGACUCCCUGGUCCUCCCCCACUCCCCUAACCUUGUUCUCUUAGUGUUAAUGCCUCCACACUAAGAUCCAGCUUGGAGCCAACUGACCUACCACAGAGCAUACUCAUUCUAAUGGGGUACGGGGGAGGAAUGCACAAAAGUGCAGCCCCACAGGGCCCCUGCCUCUCGACCAUGUUGAAAGGACACAACCUAGGGCACAUUAAACCCUGAAGGAGGUCAAGGCCAGAGAUCCUUGGGCAUAAGGAAAGAUACUCCUGAAUCCCUCCCUCCACUUAGAUUCCUUCCAGGCAGUUCUGGGGCAGAACUCAGGUCCUCCCGUAUACCAGUCCUCUGUGGGGUCCAUCCCCACGGUGCAGCCUCCUGAGGCUCCCUUCUAUUCCCGAAUGGUCUUCCACUGAAACAACACCAGAGACCAACCCUGCCCUCUCAUAGGACUCGAGCUGGCGUCCUCCACACAGGGCCUCCCCGUGGCAGCAAAUGCAGAGAGCGCCCUGGAGUCUCCAUUCACACGGGGUCUUCCAUGGGGGCAGCUCCGCUUCUGGCACGCUCCCAGAGGGUAGAAGCAGGGACACUCCAGGUUCAUCCACUCACAAAGGGACCGCUCCAGGGCGGCCGCAAUACCACACUUCAGAGUCUGCAGAGGGUUGUCCGCUGGCCGCAGACCAGUCCCUCAUGGUGGUUGCCUGUUCCCCGCCGCCCCCGCCCCCGCUUACCGGGACGGUCAGGCUGCGGGACGCUGGCCCGGGCUGGCGGUCUCCCGCCUGCCGGUGCUGGCCGAGUGCCGCCAGCAGGCGGAACAGGCAGAGAAGAACGCUGAGGCGGAGCAGCAGACAGAGGGGUCCUCAGGGCGCCCGCGCGCCCCGGCCACACCAAGCUCUGGCCGCGCGCCUAUGACGCGUACGCACGCGCGCAACGGCCUCCGCGGGCAGGGAGGUGCACGCCCCGCCCUGCCUCCUGAGGGUCGACGCUGGGCCCUCGGGCGGCAGCUAGCCACCGCACAGGAGAAUGAGUCGCCGAGGGUCCGCUGGAGGGCGGUGGCGCGGCCCCGGCUUGGUGGCCCGCUCCUUUGAGCUGUGGGUUCGGGUGCCUGUGGGCGCUCCCCGUCAACGCCUCAGCAAGAAUAAUGAAAGUAAGAGCAAAAAUAAACAAUUAGGACCCGAGUACAUCAUGAGAAACACUGGGCUGGAUGAAGCACAAGCUGGAAUCAAGAUUGCCGGGAGAAAUAUCAAUAACCUCAGAUAUACAGAUGAUACUACCCUUAUGGUAGAAGGUGAAGAGCCUCUUGAUGAACGUGAAAGAGGAGAGUGAAAAAGUUGGCUUAAAGCUCAACAUUCAGAAAACUAAGAUCAUGGCAUCUGGUCCCAUCACUUCAUGGCAAAUAGAUGGGGAAACAGUGGAAACAGUGUCAGACUUUAUUUUGGGGGGCUCCAAAAUCACUGCAGAUGGUGAUUGCAGCCAUGAAAUUAAAAGACGCUUGCUCCUUGGAAGGAAAGUUACGACCAACCUAGAUAGCAUGUUAGAAAGCAGAGACAUUACUUUGCCAACAAAGGUUUGUGUAGUCAAGGCUGUGGUUUUUCCAGUAGUCAUGUAUGGGUGUGAGAGUUGGACUAUAAAGAAAGCUGAGCACAGAAGAAUUGAUGCUUUUGAACUGUGGUGUUGGAGAAGACUCUUGAGAGUCCCUUGGACUGCAAGGAAAUCCAACCCGUCCAUCCUAAAGGAGAUCAGUCCUGGGUGUUCAUUGGAGGGACUAAUGUUGAAGCUGAAACUCCAAUACUUUGGCCACCUGAUGCAAAGAGCUGACUCAUUUGAAAAGACCCUGAUGCUGGGAAAGAUUAAGGGCAGGAGGAGAAGGGGACGACAGAGGAUGAGAUGUUUGGAUGUCAUCACCGACACAAUGGACAUGGGUUUGGGUGGACUCCGGGAGUUAGUGAUAGACAGGGAGGCCUGGUGUGCUGUGGUUCAUGGGGUCGCAAAGAGUCGGACACGACUGAGCAACUGAACUGAACUAAACUUAAAGGAUUUUUCACAACAAAGGAAACCAGAAACAAGGCAAAAAUAAAGCUCUCAGAAUGGGAGAACAUAUUUGGAAUAGUUAUUGAUUGGCAACCUGAACAUACUCCAGGUUCCCCAGGGGCCACUUUUGUAACCUGGUUUAUAUUUGAAAAAUAGAUUAUGUUUUCAGAUGGCUCACUGCUAAGGCAUGGGAUAUGCAUGUCCCCUGAGAUGCAGUGUGAAGCAUACUGAGAGAAUGUGAUGGGUGAAUGAGAAAACAAAGGUUUAUUCAUGUUGAAUCAGAGAUCUAUUAGAAUUCUUAUGGCAGGAAGUCUGCAGAUAAGUCAUUUGAGGAGGAUUUUUGGUUGAAGUCAGUAAAGAUCAAAGUGAAACAGAAAAGCUAUCUCACUCUCAGGACUAUAAGUUUAUUUUUUGAGGCAAGGUUUGAAAUUUUAUGCUAGGCAGCCAGAUCAAACACAGUAGCUAAGGAAUCAGCUUUCUUACCAUCUAAGAUACCGUGAUUGCAGCCAUGAAAUUAAAAGAUGCUUACUCCUUGGAAGGAAAGUUAUGACCAACCUAGAUAGCAUAUUAAAAAGCAGAGACAUUACUUGAGUAAACUCUGGGAGUUGGUGAUGGACAGGGAGGCCUGGCGUGCUGCGAUUCAUGGGGUCGCAAAGAGUCGGACACGACUGAGCGACUGAACUGAACUGAACUGAAGAUACUGUUACACGGUCCAUUCACAUUUAAUGUUGUUAUUGAUGUGGUUAGAUUUAUGUCUGCCAUUUUGAGUUUGUUUUCUCUAUGUUUCAUAUCUUUUUUGCUCUUUUCCUCCUUACUGCCUUCUUUUGCAUUAAGUGAAUAUAUUCUGAAAUUGUUUACCUUAGAUUGGGACUUGAACGCACGUGGACGGGAAUGAAACCCAGCCAAAACCCUGCCUGGGACUCUAAUCCACAUGGCUGGACGCAAACCCAGCUAAAACCCAUAGUACCUGGUUUCAGGACCUAAUGAAGCUCAGGUUCUUGUCUUGAAAAACAGACAAGAAGAUGCCUUGAUGUCUCACUGCAGAAAGAAUUCAGUGAGAGACAAAGUGAUAGGUAAGAAGUGGAUUUAUUUAGAGAGAAACACAUUCCACAGACAGAGUGUAGGCCAUUACAGAAGGUGAGUGUGGUGGCGAAAAGUGGCAUGGUUAGUUUUUAUGAGCUGGGUAAUUUCAUAUGCUAUUUUGGGGAAAGGAUGGAGAUUUCCAGGAAUUGGGCCACUGCCCACUGCUUGGUCUUUUGACAGUGCCUUGGAACUGUUGUGGAGCCUCUGAGUGUGUCCUUUAGCUUGCUGAUUGAGGAUCAAGCUCUAGUUGAAGUCAACUUGUCUUCCGUCUUGGACCCAUUUGAUUCUAAUAAGUUUAUGUUGUAUCUAUGUCAUACUUUCAAAAGUUGUGUGCUGUCCAUUUCCCUCCUGUUACAAUUCUAGUGUGAAAUUUAAUGAUUUCUUUUGAUGAUCAUACUAAGUAAUAAGGUUUUGCGUGCAUGUAUGCUAAAUUGCUUCAGUCCUGUCCGAAUUUUUGCGACUCUAUGAACUGUAGCCCGGCAGGCUCCUCUGUCCAUGGGAUUUUUAUAUACACUUAAUUAUUUCCUUAAGAUAAAUUCCUAGAAGUGGUAUUAGUGAGUCCAAAAGUUGGCACAUUUAUAAACCUUUGAUAUCCAUAGCCACUUCCCCUUCUUAAGGAGUUGUCGCAGUUUACAUUUCUACCAGCAAGGCCUUUAUAUGUUGUUGACUGAUCCUAGGUAUCAGUCUCAUAGAGUUUAGCUUCAUUUACAUAGCUGGCUCUUAUAUAAAUACUGGAAUUUGAGCUGAAAUCUAGCAAGUUAAGGCUGAUUUAAUGUUCAGAAUUGAGGAUCAGCUAUGGUAUUUAGCACCUGUUAUUUAAUGGAGAUUUUCUUGAUGAAUCUUUAUAAUGUAUAGCUUUUUAUCUCAGCUCCUACCAUAUCUUAGCCAAUCUCAGAAUGAGAAUGAGGACACAGACAUAUUAUUGAUCUACUUGACUAGCGCCUCAGCCAACCUUAACGUUGGAGAGAUAUAACAGUUGCUUUCUUCAAAGCAAGACAUUCUGAGUUUGAGCUCUAGAUUUAGGCCUAAAUUCCUAACACCUUUUCUUCCAUAAUGUGCAAUCAAAAUUUUUCUCCUAGUUCUUUGUGAUGAUGGGAUAGUUCUGUACCUUGAUAGAAGUGAUGGUUAUACAGAUUGGUAUGUGAUAAAGUGGCUUAGAACCAUACACACACACACACAAUUUUAUCAGUGUCAGUUUACUGGUUUUCAUAUGUUACCAUAAUUGUGUAAAACAUAACCAUUGGGAGAAAUUGGUGAAGGGUGCAGGGGACCUCUACUAUCUUUGCAGUUUCCCAUGAGUCUAUAAGAAUUUCACAAUAGAAACUUUAGGAAAAAAAUCUUUCUCUAAGAGUUAGCAGAGGAACAUUUUUUAAUUUAUUUUGCAUAGAUAAUGCCUUUACAUGGUUCCAAAAGUCUUGUUCUCUCCCUGCCACACCAUUUCUAUUGCUUCUAUUAUUUUCUUCUAUACCUUUCUAGUAUGUAAUACUAGCAAAUAUGGCUGUAUAGUCUUUCUUUUUCCAACUUCCCCGAACAAAGUGUAUAUGUUAGUC